UGGGGGAUAUUGCACAAUGGGCGAAAGCCUGAUGCAGCGACGCCGCGUGGGGGAUGAAGGCUUUCGGGUUGUAAACCUCUUUCGCUAUCGAACAAGGCCCGCUUAGGGUGGGUUGAGGGUAGGUGGAGAAGAAGCGCCGGCUAACUACGUGCCAGCAGCCGCGGUAAUACGUAGGGCGCGAGCGUUGUCCGGAAUUAUUGGGCGUAAAGGGCUUGUAGGCGGCUUGUUGCGCCUGCUGUGAAAACGCGGGGCUUAACUUCGCGCGUGCAGUGGGUACGGGCAGGAUUGAGUGUGGUAGGGGUGACUGGAAUUCCAGGUGUAGCGGUGGAAUGCGGAGAUAUCUGGAGAAACACCGAUGGCGAAGGCAGGUCACUGGGCCAUUACUGACGCUGAGGAGCGAAAGCAUGGGUAGCGAACAGG
rnacentral:rRNA from 1 species